rnacentral:rRNA from 1 species
AACGCGAAGAACCUUACCUGGGCUAGAAGUGUAGAGGACGACAUCAGAGAUGAUGUUUCUCGAAAGGGUCUUUACAUAGGUGCUGCAUGGCUGUCGUCAGCUCGUGCCGUGAGGUGUUUGGUUAAGUCCAGCAACGAGCGCAACCCUUAUCGUUAGUUGCCAACGCGUAAUGGCGGGAACUCUAACGAGACUGCCUGGGUUAACCAGGAGGAAGGUGAGGAUGACGUCAAGUCCGCAUGGCCUUUAUGUCCAGGGCUACACACGUGCUACAAUGGUCGGUACAGAAGGCAGCGAAAUCGCAAGAUGAAGCAAAUCCCAAAAAACCGAUCUCAGUUCAGAUUGUAGUCUGCAACUCGGCUACAUGAAGUUGGAAUUGCUAGUAAUGGCGUGUCAGCAACAACGCCGUGAAUACGUUCCCGGGCCUUGUA